GCGGAAGUGGUCGGUGUAGCAGGGAAUGUCUCACUCAGUCCGGUAUCCGACCGAUACAGACAUGCUCUGUCAACAAUAGCGGCGCUUUAUUCGCUUACGUGGACCAGGCAGCGUAGAGGUAGUGCGCGUCUAUUCUCUCCCGGUAGCUAAAAUACAUAUAUAUCAAAACCAAAUCGUAAGUUACUACUUAUCCCUCGCUUUAAAGAGAGGGCACGAGCUAGUUGCUAAGCUAAUGCUAGCAAGGUGUAGGAUUUCAGGAAGUUUCCACCUGCCUUACCUUCACCUGGCUACUGUAAGCGUAGCCUGCGAGCUAACAGGCCGUAAAGCAACGUAAGUCGUUGUGGUCCAGCAAAGGACGAGGACCACGUAGAACUCACUCCAAAUCCUAAUUGACAUGGAUGGAUGAAAAACGCAGACCAGUUUGGUCGGAUAUUUUAUGUUGUGCAUUGUAGUUUCUAUGAGCGGGAAAACUCAGGGAAAACUGACUUGAUGAAGGUGUUUGCUGUUAAAUCUUAAGCUGAUUGAGGAAGCCGUUGAUUUAGAUGUUAUUAUUGAUAUACAGUGUCGUGAAAACGUAUUUGCCCCUUCUUGGUUUAUUUUUUUUGCCUAUUUGUCACACUUAUAGGUGAUGUUUCAUAGCAUCAAACACAUUUUUAUAUUAGACAGAUAACCUGAAUAAUUGUAAAAUGAGGGGAAAUCCAAACCUACCGUGCACCCAUGUGAAGUAAUUGACGAAGUGAAUUAGGCUAUCGAUCUCUGUUACUCCAAGACGGCGCCAACGACUCAAUCAAGUCCAAAAAAACCCUAGAACAACAUGUGGAGAACUGCAGCGCUCGCUGGCCUCAGUUGGGGUCAGAGUACACGACUCCACAAUACGGGACAG
ensembl:lncRNA